GACAUAGUUCCUAAAAAGAGACACUUGAGAGGGAACUAAGGUUUUCUCUGUAUACACAAAAGGGUUUUUAGAGAGAGAAAACAGAGUGCAGUUUCACUGAGCCAUUUUUGUUUGCUUUGAAGGAAAUUUUUUAUGUGUUUUGGUGAAGAUUUUAGGGCCUAAAGCUUCAGAUUAUUUGUUUGGCAAUGCAGAAAAUAUAUUCUGGGUGAGUUUUUUCUCAUCUUCAUUUUUGAGAAAUUUUUUUCUCGUAU
rnacentral:lncRNA from 1 species